AUCCAGCUGACCAGUCCUAAAUAGGAUGAGACGCACGUCCUGAAU
rnacentral:hammerhead_ribozyme from 1 species